CCGGGUAUUUUGCAUAUUCAUUAAGCAAAACAAUCGAUUUCUCCUCAAAAUUCACCCCAAAAUUGGUUCCGGAGUGGCUCCAGAUCAGCCUGGGGGAAUUUCCAGGAGCGGGAAUUGAUUCCCAGGAAUUUCCACUGGAACAGAUUGUCCAGGGAAUGUUUGGCUCUGCCUCAGUGGGGAUAUCCAGAGCCAUCCCAAAAAUCCUGUGCCAGCUUUGAGCGGGAUGCCUUCCCGCCUGAGGAAUCCCCAAAUUACCCGAUGAAUUCCAUAAAAAAUCCCAAUUAGUUCCAUAAAACACCCAUUCCGGAGUUCUGGGAUUCUCCCAGCUCAGGGGAUCCACCCAAAUCCUCGGAAAAUCAGCAAAGCUCCGUGAAAUUCCUCAAUUUUCCCAGCUUCCACGGGAUUAAAGUUUUUCCUCUCAUAUUUAAUCCUCCCUCGAGGCAUUUUCAGCUGAAAAUUGGGAUGGGAUAGCGGGAAGUGUCCCUGUGCCUGGAAAAGGGUUGGAAUGGGAUGGGAUUUAAUCCCCUUCCCACCCUAGACCAUCCCAGGACUGGAAAUCCAGGCAGAAAUGGUAAAAUCCCCUCCGGAAUUCACUUUUCGCGGGAAUCCUGGGGUGGGGAGGCAGCAGGGAUUCCCAUGGAAAAGGGAAUAACGCGGGUAAACAACCCCAAAAUAAUUAGCAGUAAUUAAGAUUAUUACACAUGAGGGGAGGGCAAUUAAAGCCUCGCGCCCAAAGGCUGCCUCAGCUUCCUGGAAGUUCGGGAGUUCUUAUAAAACUCCAAGGAUUUGGGGCUCCCCCCGGACAUUCCCGUCGAUUCCUUCCUGGAAUAUUGGUUCUCCCCGGAUCCUCCCAGAUGUGCUCGGAAUUCCAGGGCCCAUGUCCGCCGCCUUCGGCCUCCGGCUCCAGCCAGCCCUGCGUGGUUUCCUGCGGCGCUUCCCGCGUCAUCAUCUUCCCUCCUCCCGUGCUCGUGACAUUCCCGGGGCCCAUCAUCAGCACCUGCCCGCAGGAGACCGUGGUGGGAUCCUCGGGAAUGGUGCUGGGAUCCUCUGGAAUGCCCGAGGAAGGAGCGGGAAGCUCCCUGAGGUCCCACGGAGUGGAAAUCCCGCGUCGCGGGGAGUUCAUCCCAAAAUUCACCUCUGGGCCCGUCCUCGGUGUGGACCCACGGGAGACCUUGGUGGGAUCCUUGGGAAUGCUGGAGGGAGGAGCGGGAACUUCCCGAACCUCCCUGAGAUCCCACGGGGCGCAAAUCCCGCGUUCCCGGGGUUUCAUCCCAAAAUUCGGCCCCCGGCGAGCGUCGCGCUGCUCCUACAUUUUUAAUUCCCGCUGGAUCCAUCCCUGCCGGAGGAGCAGCUGUGGGAGCCAGCAGCUGGCCGGGAAUGGGCGCGAGGAGAAAAUUCCAGAUCCGGAAAAGCCAGGAACGGAAAACACGGAUGCAGAAAAGGAGGAAAACGAGGUCUUGGAAGUGUGAGGCGGCUCCGGCCCCAAUCCAAAGGCUCUGGAGGAUCCUCCAAAGCAGAUUUGGGAAUUUAAGUUCAGUUUAAGUUGGGAUCUUUUUAAGGUUGGGGUAUUUUGAGGUUUUUUUCCCCCCUCAGACAUUCCCAAGUGGCGGAAUUAAGCCAUUAAAUUCCAUUUUCUCCAAAUUCGGGGGUAACCUGACCCUUGGAAUCUGAUUUGUGGGAGCAGUUUGUUGUUUUCCCGUGGUUUUCCAGAGAAACUGAGAUUGAGGAACACCCCAAGUGUGGUCAGACCUGACAAAGCCUUUCCCUGCCAGGCCUAAUUAAGCCUGGCUUAGGUUUUAUGGGAAUUACUCAGCAGGAAAUUCCCUUUUCCCUGGGAUAAAUACAAACACAAUCCCAUCACCGCUUCCCGGCUUUCACUUUCACUGCAGGAAAGUCGGGAAAGGGAAUUAACCAAUCUCCUUAUAUUUAAUUUUAAUAAAAAGGAAAAAAGAUUUGUGGGAAUUAAUUUU
rnacentral:lncRNA from 1 species